AUUUGAACCAAAAAAGUAGGGUCUUUUUCAAUAUUGCUUGGUCUAUAUAUCACCUUAUGUUGGUGUUGUAUACAAAGAUUUCAUUCAGUAGGCUUCUAAGAUUUCAAAUCCAUUUGAAAGAAAUUGACAGUCACUAACUUAUGAGGGGCUAAUACCUAAAAGUUGUAAUGAAAUGAUACUAAGUUGUGAGCUUAAGCCAGAAAUGGAAAACAUUCUCUAGCAUGUGGGACAAAGAGGUGUUAGUGUCUGCGGGUGAGUGUACUUGUGUGUGAGUGCCUGUGUUUGUAUCUUGUCGUUGCUGGGUGAAUUCUGGGACGGGAGGGCGAGGUGCAAGCAGGCAGUGUAUGGAUGUAUGAUUGUGUUGGAAUAAUCAACUUUAGCAUUUAUGGAGGUCACUUUGGAUGUCAGUGGUAUUCAUGUUUCACGGAUGAUGCAAUUUACUCCAAGGAAAUAGCUCCUUCAAGAACCUUCUGCAUUUAUGAAGAGGUUUAUAUACAAUUUCUUCUAGUUAUAAUGUAUUUUUGGCUUUACUACUUUAAUUAUGUUAAUCUCAAAUGUUGUUAUAAGAUAAAAGUUUUAAUCUGUAACCUAUAACACAUUGAUAAGUUCAAGAUAAAGGCAGUUGGUGCUACUAAUAGGCUUGGAUAAAUUGAGGCUCCUCGAGUGGAAGAACGGGCUCAUGGCUAUUCAGGAUAGAGUUGUAAACUGCCACUUCAAAGCUGGAUACAUUUAGGCUACCUUUGAGCCAUCACUUGGACAUAAAAUAUGCUGCCACCUCCACCAUGCCCCUAUCUUCCAUUGAAAUACAGUUUUGGAUGUAGAGGUCGAAAUGAUGCACAAAGCUGGUCUCAUUCAAGGGGGAUCACUGGAAAAUGCAAUGGUUUGCAGAGCAGCGGUGAUUCUGGUGCUAAUGUGAAGCGCCUUGAACAAGAAACUGAGAGCAAAAUCCUCCAGCUGAAGGAACAAUCAUCAC